rnacentral:rRNA from 1 species
CACGUAGGGCGCAAGCGUUGUCCGGAAUUAUUGGGCGUAAAGAGCUCGUAGGCGGUCUGUUGCGUCCGCUGUGAAAACUCGAGGCUUAACCUCGAGCUGUCGGCGGAAACCAUCUGGCUAGAGUCCGGAAGAGGAGAAUGGAAUUCCCGGUGUAGCGGUGAAAUGCGCAGAUAUCGGGAAGAACACCCGUGGCGAAGGCGGUUCUCUGGGACGGUACUGACGCUGAGACGCGAAAGCGUGGGGGAGCGAACAGG